rnacentral:rRNA from 1 species
CACGUAGGGUGCGAGCGUUGUCCGGAAUUAUUGGGCGUAAAGAGCCCGUAGGCGGUGUGUCGCGUCGGCCGUGAAAACCUGUGGCUUAACUAUGGGCUUGCGGUCGAUACGGGCAUCACUGGAGUUCGGCAGGGGAGACGGGAAUUCCUGGUGUAGCGGUGAAAUGCGCAGAUAUCAGGAGGAACACCGGUGGCGAAGGCGGGUCUCUGGGCCGAUACUGACGCUGAGGAGCGAAAGCGUGGGGAGCGAACAGG